rnacentral:lncRNA from 1 species
CCUAGAUGAGGGCAAGGUUCUUGGCAGUCUGGCCAAGUACACUUUCAAGCAAGGGCUUUGGGAUGGAGAUGCAAUAUGGCAGUCGUGCCAACCUAUCUCAGCAGCCAUCUGGUGGAAGGGACUUUGGAUCUGAGGCUCUUUCCCCUGUUGCCUCCAUCAUCCUCCAAAUCCCACCAACAUCAGCCGCCUCAGAGUGCAACUGGUCCUUGUUUGGGAACACACACACCAAAGCACGCAACAGGCUGACCAAUACAAGGGUUGAAAAAUCGGUGGCCAUCCAGGCAAAUUUGAGACUUUUUGAGCCUGACCGAGCCAUCCUCAACAAGGUUGGAAAGUGACAAUGAAGAUGAGGCCUCAGUCUGAUGUCUUUGCCAGAAGACCUGAGCCCUAGGACCAUGCCUCAGGACUACCUGGCCUGAUGACUCCUUGCUGUCCCCAGUCCACCUGGUCGUGCUGCUGCUCCAGUUUCAACUGUUCUGCCUGCGACUAUGGAACCCUGACCUGUUUACCGGACGUGCUAUCUGUCCCAGACCUGCUGUUUUCAACUCUCUAGAGACAGCAUGAGCGGUAGAGAUACUCUGAAUGAUCGGCUAUGAAAAGCCAACUGACAUUUAUUCUUGAGGUGCUGACCUGUUGCACCCUCUUCAACCACUGUGAUUAUUAUUAUUUGACCCUGCUGGUCA